AUUAGUUUUCUCUUCCAUCGUUCUCUCACGCACACCAGAAACAUUGUUCCCUGUUUUAUACCUGACACUCGGGACCCUUCUUCGUCUCCUAUUUUCGUGUCUUGUUCUUUCCCUUACCGUUUCCUCUCCACUUCUGACCCUAAAGAAACGCCGAUUCCGUGGCUCUGGAUGGAAACAACAACGCGUGAUCGCUCAACAACAACAGGUAGUGUGCCGGUUCAAGCCUCGAACAACCAACGAGGGACUUAACAGGAAUUUGUACUCUUUGAAUGCGUGUGUUACAACGAAACGAUGUUUAAAUGUUUACUUAUCACGUAAUAAAGAUUACACGAACCGUCUCCACCAUCAAAGGUGACUCACUCCCCUUAAUUAUACAAGAAUCGUUACGUUACGAUUCACGUAUACGUGGUACUUCUUUAUUUUUCUCACUUUUUUUCUCUUCUUUUUUUCAGGUUAUUUUAAUUCUUUUUUUUUUUUUUAUUAAUUCUCUUCUUUCUUUUCUUUUUUUUUUUUUAUACGCAGUAAAAGGUUCUGUCACGCGCUCAAUGUAUUCGAUGGAAUUUUCAAAGAAUUUUGCCUUGGAAGAUAACUCGCCAGAUACCUUAUCGAGUUUCCAUGUAAAAAGGUAUUGGGUUAUUUGCGUGCUGGUUAAAUGGAGACAUGACGAGCGUAUUCUUUUCGGUUCUGUGCAAUGAAAGGUAUCGUAUUUUGGUGUUGAGAUUAUUAUCGGCGUUGAAAUUUCCGCAGCUGGAAUUCAUUUCGGAUCGAAAAACCUUGAUUGCCUACAAUUAAAUUUUAAUUAUAGCUGGCUAAUAAAAAACGAAUUACGUGUUGCCAUGUCAGAAGCUAUUUCUUAUUGGUCCUGCAACAAGGAAAUUCGUGGUUUCUCGACGUAAUCGCGAGGCGUGGUCGGGGCCGGCCAUUAAACGACGCGACUCGGUCGGCGCCGCUUUUAAAAUUACAUUCGCUUAUCUUCCUACAUACUUGGCCGCGCUGUAACUUUCAUUCUUCAUUACGUGACUGCGAAAGGACGCAUGAAAAAUUCACGGACCACGGGCAGAACGUCUGCGGUAGACCAGGGACAGCCGUAGGCCGGAAUUAAUUCUCUCUGUCGCGUAUGUUCGCCUCUCUACCGGCCACUUUCCACCUUUUAACGAGUCGUGCACCGUGGAAACACGCUUGCCGCCUUCAAAUUCUCAAAGACAUCACGUAAAUCGGCGAUCGUCAGCACGUUUUCCGAUAUUUCCGUCAUCGCACUUUCGAAAGUAACUUGGUUCGUUAUUUGAUUUUGCUUUGAUAGUUUCUUACGGUUCCAUUGCUUGUUCAUCGAACGUGGAACGCGAUCUUCGGCUUAUUAGAACAGAAGUAAAACACAAAGUAUAGUACGUGUUUUAUUAAUUUUUUGGGGUUUACAGUCUGGAAAAAGAACUUGGCUUAUUUCUAUCUCUCACUUAUUCCCGUAUGAGCAGCUAAAUAUUUAUUAGAUUAUCCCAUAAGUAAUGCAAUCCUUUGAUACCCAUAGCACCCACGAAAAUAAAUGACCGUUUACCAUUAAUUAAUCAUUGAUAUAUCUCCCUUCAUUUCCUCCAAUCUUCUUGUCAUGUUUCUAUCGAGUCUUCCAUUUUACUCUUCCACGUUUUACCAUAGUCUUAUCGUAUCUUAUUUACACAAAUUUGAAGCUAGAAGUGGAGCCG
rnacentral:misc_RNA from 1 species